AUGCAAAUUAGAGUCCAAAACAAGGGCAAAAGUGUUUGGAAAAGUAGAUACAUUGGAGACGUAUCAAGGGCUCAACCCCUCAUCACUCAACUCAUCCACUACGAUCAAACCGGCUUUGUCAAAGGACGUGGGAUUGCUGAAAACUUUCUUCACGCUACGGAUAUUGUCCAAACUUGUUUCAAGCGACGGCUACCUGCAAUCGUCCUCAAGCUAGAUUUUCACAAGGCAUUUGACUCAGUUUCUUGGAUCGGCCUUGCCAACAUCUUGAAGGCUCAAGGAUUCCCACCGCUCUGGUGUCGUUGGGUUCAAAGCUUAAGCACCACGGCCAACUCGGCUGUUCUCCUAAAUGGUAAGCCAGGGCCCUGGUUCCAGUGCCGCCAAGGUUUGCAGCAAGGCGAUUCCCUGUCUCCCUAUCUAUUCAUCUUGGUGGCGGAUGUCUUAAAACGACUCAUUAUUCAGGCCUCGGACUGUGGCCUCCUGACUCACCCGAUCGCUCAUGAUAUGCCUUGCACCGUGCCUCAAUAUGCAGAUGACACGCUAAUUGUCCUCCCCCCCGAUGCCGCUCAAGUACGGACUCUCAAAAAUAUCCUGCUCCAAUUUUCUGAGGCUACUGGGCUAAAAAUCAAUUUCCACAAAAGCACCUUUGCCCCGAUCCACGUCGACCCUGACCUCUCGACUAGCCUUGCCGCAAUCCUGGGCUGUCCAGUUGCCACCUUCCCCCAAUCCUACUUGGGCUUGCCUUUAUCCACUCACAAACUAAACCUGGCUGACUUCUUCUUCAACAUUGACAAGAUCGAUUGCCGUCUUGCCGGUUGGAGGGGCCUUUUGCUCUCCUUGGCCAGAAGGGCUAUCCUAGUCCGCUCUGUCUUACGCGCCCUGCCAAUCUAUGCCAUGAGUGUUCUUCUUCUUCCGGCUGGAACUAUUCAGGAAAUCGAGAAAUGUUGUAGGGCCUUCUUUUGGUCCGGACAGGAAAAAACUUCGGGCGGCAACUGCAAGGUUGCAUGA
rnacentral:rRNA from 1 species